rnacentral:rRNA from 1 species
UACGUAGGGACCAAGCGUUGUUCGGAUUUACUGGGCGUAAAGGGCGCGUAGGCGGCGUGACAAGUCACUUGUGAAAUCUCUGGGCUUAACCCAGAACGGCCAAGUGAAACUGUUGUGCUAGAGUGCAGAAGGGGCAAUCGGAAUUCUCGGUGUAGCGGUGAAAUGCGUAGAUAUCGAGAGGAACACCUGCGGCGAAGGCGGGUUGCUGGGCUGACACUGACGCUGAUGCGCGAAAGCUAGGGGAGCGAACGGG